GCCACCUCCAGAGGUAUGUUACACUUGUAUUCAUCAUGUUAACUUGAAAGUAGUUUACCUACAAUAAUUUAAAAUCACAUCUUUCAAAUGCUUCAGAUAAAGUAUCAUGACUCUAGGAGAUGCAAGCUUGACCCGAAUCCAUUGAAAAUUUUUUUAAAAAAUAAAAUAAAAACUUAAAAAUAGUACUUAAAUUAGAGACCAACAAA
rnacentral:lncRNA from 1 species